rnacentral:rRNA from 1 species
UAGCAUAUCAAUAAGCGGAGGAAAAGAAACCAACAGGGAUUGCCCUAGUAACGGCGAGUGAAGCGGCAACAGCUCAAAUUUGAAAUCUGGCUCUCUUUGGGGGUCCGAGUUGUAAUUUGCAGAGGAUGCUUUGGCAUUGGCGGCGGUCUAAGUUCCUUGGAACAGGACAUCACAGAGGGUGAGAAUCCCGUACGUGGUCGCCUGCCUUUGCCGUGUAAAGCUCCUUCGACGAGUCGAGUUGUUUGGGAAUGCAGCUCUAAAUGGGAGGUAAAUUUCUUCUAAAGCUAAAUACUGGCCAGAGACCGAUAGCGCACAAGUAGAGUGAUCGAAAGAUGAAAAGUACUUUGGAAAGAGAGUCAAAAAGCACGUGAAAUUGUUGAAAGGGAAGCGCUUGCAGCCAGACUUGCCCGCAGUUGCUCACCUAGGCUUUGGCCUGGGGCACUCUUCUGCGGGCAGGCCAGCAUCAGUUUGGGCGGUUGGAUAAAGGCCUCUGUCACGUAUCUCCCUUCGGGGUGACCUUAUAGGGGAGGCGCAAUGCAACCAGCCCGGACUGAGGUCCGCGCAUCUGCUAGGAUGCUGGCGUAAUGGCUGUAAGCGGCCCGUCUUGAAACACGGACCAAGGAGUCUAACAUCUAUGCGAGUGUUUGGGUGUCAAGCCCGAGCGCGCAAUGAAAGUGAACGGAGGUGGGAACCCUUUGGGUGCACCAUCGACCGAUCCUGAUGUCUUCGGAUGGAUUUGAGUAAGAGCAUAGCUGUUGGGACCCGAAAGAUGGUGAACUAUGCUUGAAUAGGGUGAAGCCAGAGGAAACUCUGGUGGAGGCUCGCAGCGGUUCUGACGUGCAAAUCGAUCGUCAAAUUUGGGCAUAGGGGCGAAAGACUAAUCGAACCAUCUAGUAGCUGGUUCCUG